rnacentral:lncRNA from 1 species
UGGCGCCCCUCACCGCCAACUCUACCACCAAACUCAACCAAAUCGCUAAUGGCAACACAAAGCGAGCAGAUGUCGGCAGUCCGAGGCAUACAUCGAGGCCAAAUCUGACUAACAGAAACGGCGGCUACCUCAGCGCCACAGCAGCGCUGUGCCGCGGCGGUGAGCUGGACCUGCCCACACAUACUCCUCACGCCUCGCCGCGCAACUACCCCAGCGAGAACCGGAAGAGCAUCCUCGUUAAUGGGUA